GUCGAACGAGCUUCCGUUGAAUGACGUGCUUGCACUGAUUUCAACAAUGAAGCGAGUGGCGAACUGGUGAGUAACACGUGGGGAAUCUGCCCAGAAGCAGGGGAUAACACUUGGAAACAGGUGCUAAUACCGUAUAACAACAAAAUCCGCAUGGAUUUUGUUUGAAAGGUGGCUUCGGCUAUCACUUCUGGAUGAUCCCGCGGCGUAUUAGUUAGUUGGUGAGGUAAAGGCCCACCAAGACGAUGAUACGUAGCCGACCUGAGAGGGUAAUCGGCCACAUUGGGACUGAGACACGGCCCAAACUCCUACGGGAGGCAGCAGUAGGGAAUCUUCCACAAUGGACGAAAGUCUGAUGGAGCAAUGCCGCGUGAGUGAAGAAGGGUUUCGGCUCGUAAAACUCUGUUGUUAAAGAAGAACACCUUUGAGAGUAACUGUUCAAGGGUUGACGGUAUUUAACCAGAAAGCCACGGCUAACUACGUGCCAGCAGCCGCGGUAAUACGUAGGUGGCAAGCGUUGUCCGGAUUUAUUGGGCGUAAAGCGAGCGCAGGCGGUUUUUUAAGUCUGAUGUGAAAGCCUUCGGCUUAACCGGAGAAGUGCAUCGGAAACUGGGAGACUUGAGUGCAGAAGAGGACAGUGGAACUCCAUGUGUAGCGGUGGAAUGCGUAGAUAUAUGGAAGAACACCAGUGGCGAAGGCGGCUGUCUAGUCUGUAACUGACGCUGAGGCUCGAAAGCAUGGGUAGCGAACAGGAUUAGAUACCCUGGUAGUCCAUGCCGUAAACGAUGAGUGCUAAGUGUUGGAGGGUUUCCGCCCUUCAGUGCUGCAGCUAACGCAUUAAGCACUCCGCCUGGG
rnacentral:rRNA from 2 species